UACGAGGGGGGCAAGUGUUGUUCGGAAUUACUGGGCGUAAAGCGCACGUAGGCGGCUUUGUAAGUUAGAGGUGAAAGCCCAGGGCUUAACCCUGGAAUUGCCUUUAAGACUGCAUCGCUAGAAUCGUGGAGAGGUGAGUGGAAUUCCGAGUGUAGAGGUGAAAUUCGUAGAUAUUCGGAAGAACACCAGUGGCGAAGGCGACUCACUGGACACGUAUUGACGCUGAGGUGCGAAAGCGUGGGGAGCGAACAGG
rnacentral:rRNA from 1 species